CAUUCAGUGCAGAUGCCCAGUGGUGUGUGGCUUCUGGAAGACUUUCACAGUCAUAAUUAGCUGCCCUGGAUAUCAAACAUAACUACCCAAGCUACUGCUCUGCUGUAUGUCCAAACCACCCACAGCAAGAGCCUCUGCACCAGGAUCAAGUCUGCAGCACAAAGCAGUGCACAAACAAAGGACAUAAUAUGUUAUAAAUCCAGUGUCAAGGAAAUACUGGCAAAAGGAUGAACCAAAAGUAACACAAGCACUGCUGCAACUGAGGAGCUUAGCAGGAAGGAGAACUACUAGCAAGGAUGGCAGUAAGUACAGCAGACACCAUACUGGACAAAUCAUCAGGAAUCCACUGGUUCCCACCAGUUAGACCCUGGCAGCUCAGCAAACCAAAAAAGUCUGGAAAACUGAAGAGAGACAGAGCCUGCAGUGAAACAAAUGGAUGCCUCAAAAGCUCCACAAAUACAGGACUCAAAGUGUAACAGCAAUUUUCCUCCUAUUGUGCAUUGUCUAAGAAUUCCCUUCAAAGUGAAAAUUUUAUGGAAGAUGAAAAGAGAAACAUCAGAAGGCUUAAGUACAAAUUUCCUGUCCUCUCUCUUACCUACACUUACUUAUUUGUAGACUAUGGCUAAAAAACAAGUGCUGUUGCAACCCAUGAAUAUGUGCAAAUCUCCAAGUCAAGACUAUACUACAGUGGGCCAAGAACUCUGUCAAAAGCAAUGAGAAUAAGAUUAUCUGGGCUCAGAAAAAGCAGAACAUCCUGGCUUUCUGGUUUACAACAUUUUUUUCACAUUUUGUUUAGCACAAUUCUCACUACUAUAAAGUUUGACUUUAGGAAGUCACUGCAAAUCUUAAAAGUCUUAGACGUGGUUGUCCACAAUGGUGGGUUGCUGAAAGUUUUUUCUGCCACCAUUGUUCAAAGUAUUUCUAAAAUCGAUAGUCAUUUAAACACUUGGCGUUCAGACUUAUAGUGGUAACACCAAUACUGCACUUGCUCCCUAUGCAGGGUAUAGGUGUUCAGCACUAGGCCACUGAAUCUGCCUAGGACCACCCUGCUGCAAAGGCUCUUAUAUUAUUUAAGAUGAAGAGAACAAGAAAAUGUGAGUGACCAGAAUAGACACCCAUUUCAUUUUUUGUUCUAAAAACCAUACUGAGAUUAUAACACUGCUUCCCAUUGUAAAAGCACUGUUAUUUGAGAUUGUUUUUGUUUCUUGUCUCUCUGUGGGUGAGCAAGAAAGCUAACAUAAUCUUGUUUAUUUGUGGAUUACAGUGAGUUUAUCCUGAUUUCAUAUACAGAUGUUUUCUACAGCUUAACUUAUAUAGGCAUCAGUCUGUGUGAGGAGAGUAGGAAUGAAAGGAGGAGUCAUCUCACUCUGCUCUUCCUCCCCUCUAUCUCCUCUCCCCACACACACCUUUUCUUAGUCCUUUGUCAUCAAUGAAUUUGGUGGGGGGGAGAAAGGGGGAGGAAUCUAGAUUGGGCACCAUGUUUGGGAGUUGAACUGUGAAGGGUAAAUCCUCACUGUCUUGAUCUCAAACUAGGAGUAUAAGUAGCAUUUUAUAUUUUUAUCUAACUUGGAAGAAAGGAUUAAAUCAUUCCUCUGGCAAUAACUUGAGAUUUGUUUUUUAAAUAUCAAAUAUCAGUUUGAAUCUCCAGGUUUAAUGGGAAUAUGUCU